AAUAUUGUUUGAGUAUGGCAUAGUUUUAUGUGUUUGGAGCAAGCGUUUAGGUUUCGGGUAACAGUACCUUUAAUAUCUUCAGCAGCGAUUUCACUAUUUGUACUUCCACGUUUUGCGACGAGACCAUUGUUACCGUGCCGAAACGUUCACAAAAUAUCAUACCUGGUUCCGGGUGCCGUUUUUGUCGAACUCUCCUACCCUGUAUGUCUAUGAAUACUUGAUGCCAACGUCUUGCCACAUCUAUACAACUCCCAUCAAUACUGUAACGUUUUGCAAGAUUGUUGCAAUUAAUUAAAA